UUGAAACACCCUAGGAAGAGGGGGAGGGGGGGAAAGGUUAUUUUAAAUACCGGACAAAGUUUAGGGUACUGGACAGGAUAGGGAAGACUGAGAAGUGAAAACUGAACGGGGCCUCCAAUAUGUUCUUUGAAGGCAUGAGGCAGAGCUAGGAAUAAGAAAUGUGUGAAGUGUAAAGCAGGAAGAGUGACGGAAGACUCGACUCCUUUCUUUUCAGUCGCCCAUUCCGGAGGACCGUUUUCCUCUGUGCUGUGGCCAUUUCAGGAACAGGAGGGACAGGGUGCAAGGGCUGGUGACGGAAGGCCAGAGGGGCAGUGCUUGGGGCAGUGGGCACAGGUGUCUGACAGAAAAAUGGAAUGUUUUUCAUGCACCUCUCUUCCUCGGCUGGGACUCUAGAAUGUUCACUCUACUCCGCGCCACCUCCAGGAAGACUUAAGUAUUUCAUUGAUGAUGUCAAUAGCUGUUCUGACUGGGUGGAAGUAAUGAAAAUGGAUUAUCCUAGAAAGUUUUAGGGUGACAGUCUCCCUUCCUCUCCAGAGUCACCUUUGAGACUGUCCUUUCAUCUGGCUGUCAUGGAUGGAGCCUGUGCCACACUCAGAGGCAGUCAGUGGUGGUAGCAGACAAGUUUUAUUUUUCAUCUGACCACUGUGAUGACAACUGGACUAAUAUGACCAUAGAAGACACAACUGUAUUUUCCUAAAAUAAGCGCACAUGAAUUGUUGGAAGAGUCGUCUCUUGUGACAGCUAAUGUGAAGCUAGUACAAAGCAUAUCAGCUGCAAAUAGAAACAUUCAGUAUAUGUGAAGACAAAAUUUGGAUGUGGUCACUUGAAGAAUCACCUGUCAGGUGCCCAACUCAACUUCCCUGUUCUCUAGUCCCCAGCUGAUAGCAUCUUGGGCUAAGUGACAAGCUCCAUAGGUAUCUGGAGCAGGAAUUGCUCUGGAAAUUCCUCAGUCCCCUUCUGUAACGGAUAGUGUUCUGCAGCUGGCUGCUGACAUAGACAGCCAUGUGGUAGAUCACCUUUGUGGUUGUCUUCAGUACCUUGUAGAUGAGCAGUGAGUACUCAUUGUUCUUCCAUGUACUCACUGCCUCCAAGACAGAAGAGAAUAACUCCAUUUCAUCUAGAUCCCCUUUGGAGAAGCCAGGGACAGAUCUACUUUAAUGUAGAGUUGACUGGCCAAAUAGUCUCUGGAAGCUCCAGGCGGCACCUGUUCAUCCCAAGGAUGACUGAGAUUGUUUUAAACAAUCAGCUCUUAUGGAAACCAAUACACCAAGAACUCACUCAUUACUGCAAGGAUGGCACCAAGCCAUUUUGGAGGGAUUCACUUGCAUAACCCAAACAUCUCCCAUUAGACCCCACCUUUCACACUGGGGAUCAAAUAUCAACAUGAUCAAACCAAACUAUAGCAGGUGAGAGAAAUUUGGCUCAAGAAGGUUAUAUUCCUGCCCAAGAUCACGUAGCUCAAAGGUAGGCCUCUGGUUCUAAGCCUUUGCUUUCUCAUUAUUUCAUAGUUCCUUAACUAUUUAUAAACUAGGAUCAAAUAAUGUUUUUAUAUUGUGAGAAAUAGAUUUAUGUAUAUCCCUGGAAAUACUGCUUCAAUUAUUUAGGGUGACUAUUUCAAAUCUAUAGCUGCAGAGAAUGUAAGUGUAUAUUGUUUUGAAAAUGUAAGUGAUUGAUAUAGAAAUUAUGCAUUUUGUUGCUGCAGCAUUAUGUAGCGUUGUGUCCCAAAACAUUAUGCAAGACAUCAAUGACUCAGCUAUUCUCCUGAGUUAUAUACCUUUCUUGUAAGUUAAGCACUUUUAAUAUGUGUAUAUGCAUUUUCUAUAUAUCUGUAAUUUUUGUGUCUUACAUAGCAUUCUAUUUGUGA